UUUUUUUUUUUUUCUUUUUAAAUAGAAACGGGUUUUGCCACGUUGCCCAGGCUGGUCUCAAACUCCUGAGCUCAAGCCAUCCAUCGCCACCCCCACCCCCACCUAAUCUUACAAUUUGUAAGUUUGAAAUUAUAUCAAAAGUUACCAAAAAAAAGUAACAGAAAAGUUGACUUUAUUUCUUCUAUACGCACUCAAAAUGUUACAAAACCUAACAUUUGAUUACUCUUGAUUUUGCAGAUAGAAUAGUCUUCCAAAGUAGAGCGAGAGAGACUGGCACAGCUUAAGAUUAACACUGUAUCAAGUUCAUUUAUAUAAAUAGUUACUUUUGAUAACAUAAUAUAUAAAUAUACUCCCUAUAGGAAAUUAAACCAUUACAGGUAAGGCUAACUCCCUUUAUCCACCAUUGAGGCAACCACUGUUAUCUGUACAACUGUGUUCAGACCUCUUUUUAUGUAUUCAUCCACCUACAUGCAGAAAAGUAAAAUGUUUUGAGAUUUAAAAAAAUACAUAGGAUACUACACAUAUUACUCUAACAACUUGCUACUUUUACCCAACAAGACAUCCUGGAGUUCUUUCCUUUCAUAACAUAGACACACCUCAUUCUUUUUAGUUGCUAUAGAAUAUGUGUAUGAACAUAUUAUCCAUUUUCCUACCGAUGUACAUUUAAGUCGUCUCCAACUAUUCUGUUUUACCAAAAGGCAAAAUCAAACAACUUCGUAUAUGCCUUUUCUGUAAAUGUACAACUGUUGAUGUAGGGCAAAUAGGCAGAAGUAAAAAUGCAUGGAGUAUAGACAUUUAAAUUUUUAAUAGAUAUAGCCAAAACGCUCUCCAACAUUGCUUUAUCAAUUUAAACUCACAGCAACGAUGAGGAAAAUACUUAUUUCCCUAAACCCUCACUAAAGACUGAGAUAAACUUUCCUUUUUUGUAAACUGAUGAUGUUUUAAAAUUUUAUUUCCCUGAUUAAUUUUUACUUUACCAAUAUUUUCACAUUUACUGGACAUUUGUAUUUCCUUUCCUGUGAAAUGCCUAUUCGUAUCCUUUAUUUUUCUAAUGGCCUCUUGUUUUUAAGUCUGUAUGAAUUAUUUAUAUAAUCUAGACAUAAUAGAGAGGCAUAGUAGCAUAGUAGGUUAAGAGUUAACAGAAUGGACUCUAGAGCCUAUCUGCACAGUCUGAUUGAUAGCUCCACCAUUCACCAGCCAUCUAACCUUCGUCAAUUUACUUAGCUUAGCUAUUGUGUAUCUGUUUCCUCAUAAUGUGUAAAAUGGGGAUAAUAAUGGUAUUUUGAGAGUUACUGUAAGGAUUAAAUUAGGUAAUACGCAUAAAGUGCUUUAAAACAGUGCCCGGCAAAGAAUUAAGUGUUAUACACGUUUCAUUUGUCUGAAAGAUACACUGCAAAUAUUUUCUACCAAUCUAUUGUCUUUUAACUUUUGUUUAUGAGUCUUUGCUUACCUUUCCUCCAGCAGUUCUUUCUCAAUUUCUCGACCAUCAGACAUUAUACAAGUAGAUGAAACUUACAACUGACUGCCCUCACUGGAUCUCACUAUCAACUUAAGAAUAAAUUCAGGCAUCAGCCAAAGUACAUAGAUUUUUAAAAUCUUUGCACAGAUUUUAAAAUAAUAGCUAACUUCCUUACAGCAUUUUCUCACAAAUCAACAAGACAAUAAAUUAUCAGAAAUAAGGGACAAAAUAGACAAGUUCAUGUAACACACCAAAAAAAUGGAAAAAAAAAUUGGCUCUUAAAAAUAUGAAGAGAUCCUGUAACUUAAUUUCAAGCCUUAGAAAAAUUUAAAAUUUAAAAUUUAAAAAUUAGGGCCGGGUGCAGUGGCUCACAGCUGUAAUCCCAGCACUUUGGGAGGCUGAGGCGGGCAGAUCACGAGAUCAGGAGAUCGAGACCAUCCUGGCCAACAUGGUGAAACCCAGUCUCUACCAAAAAUACAAAAUUAGCUGGGCGUGGUGGCGCAUGCCUGUAAUCCCAGCUACUCGAGGCUGAGGCAGGAGAAUUGCUGGAACCCAGGAGGCGGAGGUUGCAGUGAGCUGAGAUCGUGCCAUUACACUCCAGCCUAGAGACAGAGUGAUCCUCAUUCUCAUUUAAAAGUGCAAAUUAAAACUACAAAUUAAACGUUUCUUUUAUUUCAGACCAGUAAAAAUCAAGAAGUUUUAAAAUACACCCUAUGUAUAAAGGCAUUCAUACAUUGCUGGUGAGAGCUUAAAUUGCUAUAGUUUAGCAUUGUCUUUCCAAAAUAAAAAUGCACAUAUCCUUGAAUUCAUCAAUUUAAUAUCCAGAAAUGUAUCCUAAAGACAGACACUCAUAUUAAAAACGACAGGCUUACAAGGUUAUUCUUUGUAGUAAUGUUUGUAAUAGCAAUGACUAUUAACAAACUAAGUGUCAACUAAUAGGGGACUGGCUAAACAAACUGUGGUACGGCCAAAUGAUGAAAUAUUAUGCAGUUGUUUAAAAAAUAAGCAGCUCUCUCUUUAUGUGAAAGUGAAAAAUCUUCAAGCUUUGUUGUUAAGUGUAAAAAAGCAACAUACAGAAAAAUGCGUAUAUUUUGCUACAAUUUAUAUGUUGGUGGAAGGAAUAUAUUAGUGCACAUAAAUCUAUGUUUGUAAAUGCUUAAUUUCUGGAAGAACACACAACAAAAAGGAUAUAACAAAUUGGUAAUGCUUGCUUCUGGGGAGGGAAUGGCUAGAAGAUAAUGAAAGGAAGGAACACUUUCAAUGUAUAUACUGUUUUGUAC
ensembl:lncRNA